UGUGUGUCUGCAAUAGCUGAAAGCUAUGAACGAAAUAAUUUGCACAAAAAUUUCUAUGACGAAAUUCACAAAAGUGUGACAAUAUUUUCUUUGAUUGUGCGUAAUGUUCUGGAUAGCACUAACUUAUAUGGUUAUUUUGAUCUGGAUCGAAGUCUAGUUAUGACGAUAAUUGCUUCCACAUGUUCUUAUUUGAUCGUUUUAAUUCAAGUAAUGUAAUGGAUUGUACAGACAUGUUCGUUAAUUUGUGGUAUAUUCAAAGGUGGUUCGAUUUUUGAACACCACAUAUUGUUUAUUUCAUAUUACAUUAUUUCGUAUUGUCGAGGUUGAUUGGUAUAUUGCAGGUGUAUACAACA